rnacentral:rRNA from 1 species
AUUGAACGCUGGCGGCAGGCCUAACACAUGCAAGUCGAGCGGAUGAAGGGAGCUUGCUCCUGGAUUCAGCGGCGGACGGGUGAGUAAUGCCUAGGAAUCUGCCUGGUAGUGGGGGCUAACGUCCGGAAACGGGCGCUAAUACCGCAUACGUCCUGAGGGAGAAAGUGGGGGAUCUUCGGACCUCACGCUAUCAGAUGAGCCUAGGUCGGAUUAGCUAGUUGGUGGGGUAAAGGCCUACCAAGGCGACGAUCCGUAACUGGUCUGAGAGGAUGAUCAGUCACACUGGAACUGAGACACGGUCCAGACUCCUACGGGAGGCAGCAGUGGGGAAUAUUGGACAAUGGGCGAAAGCCUGAUUCAGCCAUGCCGCGUGUGUGAAGAAGGUCUUCGGAUUGUAAAGCACUUUAAGUUGGGAGGAAGGGCAGUAAGUUAAUACCUUGCUGUUUUGACGUUACCAACAGAAUAAGCACCGGCUAACUUCGUG